rnacentral:lncRNA from 1 species
UAUCAUCAUUAGCCAUGCAUUACCAUGCAUAUCACAUCGUAUCAUCAUUAGCCAUGCAUCACCAUGCAUAUCAUAUCAUCAUUAGCCAUGCAUUACCAUGCAUAUCACAUCAUAUCAUCAUUAGCCAUGCAUCACCAUGCAUAUCAUAUCAUCAUUAGCCAUGCAUUACCAUGCAUAUCAUAUCAUAGAUCAAUUUCCACUUUUACUUAUCAAUUGAUCCCACAUUAUCUUUUCUCAAAUCAUCAAAUUCACCAUCAUCACCAUCCCUUCGGGCAGAAACCUCCGACAGGGUAUCAUUAUCAAUCCUUCGGGCAGAAACCUCCGACAGGAUUCCAUGAUCAAUUUGAUCAUCACCCUUCGGGCAGAAACCUCCGACAGGGUUCCCAGUAUCCCAGCCAUCUCAUGGCCACUGGGCUUCCGGCCCCCCACAUUCCGGGCAUCUCGCAUCUCAACUAGCAUCACGAGGCAUUCCCUUCGGGCAGAAACCUCCGACAGGGCUUCCUGCCUUUACCCUUCUAGCCGGGGAUCUCGCACCCCAAUCCUGGCAUCGCGAGUCACUUCCGGGCAUGUAUCCAAGAUACAACCGGACUUCCGGCCCCCCACAUUCCGAGCAUCCUGAAACUCCCAGGGAAUCUCUGGAAUUACGCCACCAGGCCACCAGACAACAUCCUCCGCCACAACCUCUUACUCACAUACCACUUUCCACUUUUUAUCAUCCCUUUUCAUCUUAUUAUUUCAUGGCAUAUGAUUCACACACAUACAUCAUGAUUCAUAAUCAUACAUACAUCAAUGCCAUAUAACAAUGCAUCAUAAUUCAUGAUCAUUCAUACAUCAAUGCCAUAUAACAAUACAUCAUAAUUCAUGAUCAUACAUACAUCAAUGCCAUAUAACAAUACAUCAUAAUUCAUGAUCAUACAUGCAUCAAUGUCAUAUAGCAAUGCAUCAUAAUUCCAUAGGACUCAUGGCCAAUAAAAUAAUCCACCUUUUAUUUUAUUAUUAUUUUAUUAUUAUUAUAUUAUUAUAUUAUAUUAUUAUAUUAUUAUAUUAUUUAUUUUCAUAAAUAAAUAUUAUAUUUAAUAUUUAUGAUUUUUCAAAAAUCAUAAUCUUCAAUCAAUCAUCAAACCAACAAUUAAAAUCAAAUUUCACAUAAAAUCCAUGGCUAAUUUGCAUUUUACAUAAUUUCCCAAAUUUCCACAAAAUACUCACAAUAUUCGGAAAAUGGCCAGAUUUGCACAGUUUUCGAAUUAAUUCAAUUCAAAUACCCAUAUGACCUCCGAAAAUUCCCAAAUUUUACAGGGUGAUAGCCAACACAUUUUCGUGCAUUUUUCAUGUAGAACUAUAAGCCAAAUUCUUUAUAGAUUAAUUUAUACAACUCCAUGAAGCUUCUGGAACCUCUACCGUUUCGUCCAGAACAUACAUCACCGAAAAACUUAGGUUUGACCCAUCAAAUCUCUUUCGUUUCUUCUGAAAUUCGAGUAUGUUAUGUAUCAAUGUGUCCUUUACAAUUUUCAUGAAGAGAUCUAGGUUAAAUAACAAAAGUAUGAUCCUCUUUUAGGUCCUUGAAGUCUCGGGUGUCUCGGGUUCACUUCAACAGAACCAUCCGUCUCAAAGAUCUAGCUGGUUAACUAGGCUAUACUCAUUUGUUUCUCCUCAAAUUUGAGUAUGUUAUAUUUUAGGAUGUUAUAUACAACAUUCAUGAAGACAAAAAAGUGAGAUCUCCAACAGAAAUCAACAUGCAACCAAGAAAUCAUCAAGAGGUCAGUAGGAAAUUCGCAGAUCUAAAGCCUCCGUGAAAUAGAACUUUUGACCCCUCAUAUCACCAUCGUUUUCCAUGAAAUUUGAGUAUGUCAUACCUCAAGAGGUUAGCUUCAACUUUCAUGAAGACACCGAAGCCAAAAUCACACUCCAAAUACACAUGCAAGCUCGAAUAAGAAACUGUCUACCACAAACCGAACGGUAACAGCCACAUUACAUGAACACAUGCAAUCCUUACCUCGGUUCUUCGCCCAAACCACACCUAAAAUCUAACAUGCAACCAACAAAAACAACAUGCAAGAGAAGUUAUGGACCCCCACUUGCCUUAAAGAAGAACACACAGCAACACACGGCGGCGUAGGACGGUCGGACGGCGGACGAACGGCGGCACCUCCCUCUCGGCUCCGCCUCCUUCCCUCUCGGUUUCUCUCUUUCUCUCAAACCCUCUCUCUCGCACACCUCUCUUGGACGGAAAUGAAGCAAGAGCCGGCCACUCUCUCUCCUAAUCCCCUUUUAUAUCCUCUAAAGCCCAUCAUUUGCAAUGAUUAAUCCACCUCAACCAUGGCCAAUGCAUGCCAUUCCUUUAUGCCACUUGUAAUUUUUGUUUUUAAAUUUGAACUUCAAUGGGCUUGGGCUUAGGCCCAACCGGCCACUCCUUCUUGGGCUGGUCGACAGCCACCUCUUGGGCCCAAUGGGCCGACUAGCUUGGCCCACCAAGCUCUAGGCUAAUGGGUCCAAGGCCCAUUUCGAAAAUAACCCUAUUUUCUCCUUCUUCUUUUUUUUGAAUUCCUUUCUAUAAAUAUUUCUAAAUUCAAAUUUCAUCUUGGCCAAAGUCUUGGGAUAUUUUAAUUAUUGAAAUUUAAAUCAUAUGGCCAAGCAUUAACUAAUUAAAUUUAAAUUUCCACAAUCACAAGCAAAAUUCAUCAAAUUAAAGGACAAAUUGGCUAAAGCAUAAGCCAUAAAAUUCUACCACCUAAUUAAAGACAUUUAACACACCUUAAGGCUUGGCUUUGAAUUUCUGGGAUGCCACAAUUCUCCCCUCCUUAGAGAAUUUCGUCCUCGAAAUUCAAGCACUACUCGCGCCUUCUUGAAAUAAAUAAGGGUACUUUUCCCUCAUCUGAUCCUCACUUUCCCAUGUGGCUUCCUCCACAUUAUGAUGUCGCCAUAACACCUUAACUAAUGGGAUCUUUUUAGUCCUAAGAAUUUGCUCCUUUCGAUCCAAUAUCUGCACAGGCUCUUCAAUGUACCUAACUUUCUCAUCCAUUUUGAUGGCUUCAUGAUCGAGUAUGUGACCAGGAUCUGGCUGGUACUUCCUCAACAUUGAUACAUGAAACACAUCGUGCAGAUUUCCUAACUUAGGAGGUAACGCUAAACAAUAAGCCACGUCACCUAUCUUCUCAAGAAUUUCAAAAGGUCCAACAAAUCUGGGGCUUAACUUACCCUUCAUCCCGAAUCGAGAUAUUCCUUUCAUUGGAGAUACUUUAAGGAAUACAUGAUCUCCUACACUAAACUCCAAAGGCCUCCUACGUCUAUCUGCGUAGCCUUUCUGUCUACUCUGAGCUGCUCUAAGCCUUUCUCUGAUAACAUCAACAGCCUCAACGGUAACUUGUACCAAUUCAGGUCCUGUCAAUUUCCUUUCACCUACUUCACUCCAAUAGACAGGAGUCCUACAUCUCCUUCCAUAUAAUGCUUCAUAAGGAGCCAUGCCUAUACUCUUCUGAAAACUAUUAUUAUAGGCAAACUCUACCAAAUGCAAUCUUUCAUCCCAAUUUCCUUUGAAAUCAAUUACACAAGCUCUCAACAUAUCCUCUAGUAUCUGGAUUACUCAUUCUGAUUGACCAUCAGUCUAGGGAUGAAAAGCUGUACUAAACUGAAGCUUAGAUCCUAACGCAACUUGGAGACUCCUCCAAAAAUUCGACGUAAACCUCGGGUCUCGAUAUGAAGUAAUGGUCACUGGAACACCAUGUAAGCGUACCACUUGACUUACAUGCGCCACAUGCGCCAUAUGGCCAAGCAUUAACUAAUUAAAUUUAAAUUUCCACAAUCACAAGCAAAAUUCAUCAAAUUAAAGGACAAAUUGGCUAAAGCAUAAGCCAUAAAAUUCUACCACCUGAUUAAAGACAUUUAACACACCUUAAGGCUUGGCUUUGAAUUUCCGGGAUGCCACAUGCGCCACACGCAUCGCGUACUCAGGCGGCGCGUGGGGGCGCGUGCGAGCUCCGAUUAGAGUGUGGUUGGUGGCGUUUGGUUCGUGUGAGUGUUCUCUACACUGUGGUAUAAUUAUUUUAUACUUUUGGAUUUUAUAAAUGUAUGAAAAUGCUUUCGAAACCCUAUGUACGCGUAAUUUUUUGGGGUUUAAUGUAGCUUAUUCAUUUGUAGCUUGUAUUUUCUUGUGAUUUAGGAAAUACAAUAGCUAGCUUGUGUGCAAAUGAUGUUAUGUAUGUUGUGUAGAGCUUGGUUUAAUGAUAUGAUGUAUAUAUUUUAAUAUACUUGCAAUUUUCUAGUUGCUAGAAAAUAAGAACAAUGGUAGGAAAUCCAUUACCUGUUGAAUUGCAAUUUUAAUUAUAGUUGAAGCAUGAUUGUUGUUUAUACAUUGAUUGUUACCAUGCUAUAUUCUUGUGUUAAGGAAAAAUGUAGAAAUUACAUAAGGUUAUGUAAUUAUUUUUUCUAGUGGGAGUUCAUAGGUUGGUAGAAUUGAAAGGAGUUCUCACCUAGAACUUAAAAUUUGCGCAAAUUAAACUAAUUAAUUAUAAUAGAACAAUUGUACAUAGAAGUUGAUUGGGAACAUUGUGAACUUUUGCUUUUGUGUUUUUUGUUGAAUUAUCAUUAAUUUAGUUUGUCUUUGCUGCAAACUAAAUGUGUGUUACUCUGUAUAGUGUGCUAGUAUUGAUUCUGCAUUUAUUAUGUCAAUCUGUUAUAGCAAUUGAUUAUGGCUUCGGCAUCCAAGACCAUUGUGGCUGACCUCAAUAAGGGUGAGAAGCUGAACGGUGACAAUUAUGAUAUUUGGCACCGAAAGGUUCAGUACAUUCUUGAGGAGCAAGAGGUUUUGGAAACCCUCAACCAUACCAUGGAUGAACCUGAGCAUGGAACUUUAGCUCAACACAGGAGAGAUCUGGAAGCUUAUCAAGCUUGGAAAAAGAAAAAUAGCAUUGCUUGCAUCACGUUGCUGAGCUGUAUGCAAGAUGAUCUCAUGUGUGAGUUUGAGAGUUAUGACAAAGCUCAAGCUAUGUGGGUUGCCUUGAAAGAUAAGUUUGGGGGUACAUCUGCCACUAAGCUGAGGAGACUCACCAUCAAGUUUGACACAUUCCGAAAGCGCCCAAAUGUAAUGAUGAGGCAGCAUCUUCGGGAGAUGUCAAACAUGAUCCGUGAGCUGAAGUCGGCAGGUCACUCCCUUACUGAUGAACAUCAAGUUCAGGCUGUUAUAAGGUCUCUUCUUGACAAUUGGAAGCAUAUGAAGAUCAAUAUGACGCAUAAUGAGAAUAUUGUCACUUUUGAUGAUAUUGCGUGUCAUUUGGAAUUAGAGGAUGAGCGCCUAAAGGCUGCGAGAUCCUCUACCCAUGCUUAUGUUGCUAAAUUGAGUUCGCGCAAAGCUUCAGGCUUCAAGCGCAAGAGGAAUCUUCAGUUCAACAACAAAGGGAAGAUGACUGAUCAGGCACCCAAGAGGGCUAAGACCUUCCGACGCAAGAAGUGUGGUGGGAAGAAGGAUAAGGCCAAGAUGGAGUGCCACAAUUAUGACAAGUUGGGUCACUUUGCUCGUGAAUGCACUGAGCCGAAAAAGGUACCCCAUUACUCCAUUACUUUGAGUAAUGCUUUUGUUUUAGUACUGUAAUGCUUGCUAAAUCUAUCCAAUGUGGACUGUAGACUCNNNNNNNNNNNNNNNNNNNNNNNNNNNNNNNNNNNNNNNNNNNNNNNNNNNNNNNNNNNNNNNNNNNNNNNNNNNNNNNNNNNNNNNNNNNNNNNNNNNNNNNNNNNNNNNNNNNNNNNNNNNNNNNNNNNNNNNNNNNNNNNNNNNNNNNNNNNNNNNNNNNNNNNNNNNNNNNNNNNNNNNNNNNNNNNNNNNNNNNNNNNNNNNNNNNNNNNNNNNNNNNNNNNNNNNNNNNNNNNNNNNNNNNNNNNNNNNNNNNNNNNNNNNNNNNNNNNNNNNNNNNNNNNNNNNNNCAGGUCAUGUAUCGAAUGGUUUUAUGGUGUUAGACAUUGACUAUGAUCAGUACAAUGUUAAUGUUGAUGGUUGUUUUUCUUUAAAUUGCGUCUUCUAACAAUGUUGAGAUUGAUGCAAGUACUUGGCAUGCUAGAUUAGGUCACAUUGGAUUGCAAAGAAUGCAAAGAUUAGCUAGAGAUUGCCUUUUAGGGUCACUCACUAAUGUUAGUCUAUCCGUAUGUGAACAUUAUCUAGAGGGAAAAACAACUAGAAAACCAUUCGGUAAAGGGACUAGAGCUGAAUUUCCAUUGCAUCUCAUACAUUAUGACAUUUGUGGUCCUUUGAAUGUGAGGGCGAGGCAUGGAGCCUCAUAUUUCAUCACUUUCAAAGAUGACUUCACACGUUUCGGUUAUGUCUUUUUGAUCUCCCAUAAGUCAGAAGCAUUAGACUGCUUUAGACGAUAUAUAGCGAUGGUAGAGAAUCAGUUGAACAAAACAAUAAAGGCAUUGAGAACUGAUCGUGGACAUGAGUAUCUAUCGGAGCAAUUCAAGGCUCUUUGUGAUGAAAAGGGAAUUGUACGACAAUUGAUUAUUCUUGGUACUCCACAACAAAAUGGGGUAGCUGAGAGAAGGAAUAGAACCCUAUUGGAAAUGGUUAGGUCUAUGAUGGCGCAAGCAAAUUUACCUAUCUCCUAUUGGGGAGAUGCGUUAUUGACUGUUGCCUAUAUACUUAACUGUGUGCCCUCAAAAUCGAUCAUUUCCACCCCUUAUGAAUUAUGGACUGGUAGGAAACCAGACUUGAGUAGUCUACGUCCAUGGGGAUGUGCAGCCUAUGUUCAUGAUUCUUCCCAUAAACAUGGCAAAUUAGGUCCUAGAGGGAAGAAAUGUAUCUUUAUAAGAUAUUCCGAACAUUCCAAAGGGUACGUGUUCAUAGGUGAACAAGCUGAUGGAAGUGUGACCGAAAUGGAGUCACGAGAUGUCACGUUCAUGGAGAACGAUUUUCCUAGUAGAGGUGAGAUUGAUAAGGACUUUCAAUUAUAUGAGAUGGAAGAUCUUGAUAACACACCCACUGAUGUUGUAGAGGGAAAUGAAGAUUUACCUCAACACACAAGACCUAGUGGGAGUGUUGCAUCGCCUGAUGAAUUGAAUUCAAGAGAAAUUCAAUUGCGUAAAAGCAAUCGUAAAAGUAUUCCUCGUCGUCGUUUUGAGAUUGAAGGGAAAGCAUUUAUGAUUACUCAAAAAGACGAUGCUGAGCCUAAGACUGUUCAAGAGGCUCUCUCGACCUUUGACAAGGAAGAAUGGAGAAAAGCUUUGGAAGAUGAGAUGGAGUCAAUGAGGGCAAACCAUGUCUAGGACUUGGUUGAUCUACCACCCAAUCGUAAGGCCAUUGGAAACAAAUGGGUCUUCAAGAUUAAGCGAAGGGUGGAUGGAUCUAUUGAAAAGUAUAAGGCUCGCCUUGUGGCAAAAGGUUAUACUCAACAAGAGGGUAUAGACUAUGAGGAAACUUUUUCACCAGUUGUAAGGUUUGCCUCAAUAUGCCUUAUUCUAGCCAUCGUUGCACAUUUGGACCUUGAAUUACAUCAAAUGGAUGUAAAGACGGCAUUUCUCAAUGGAGAAUUAGAUGAGGAAAUCUAUAUGAAACAACCAAUAGGUUUCAUAGCUAAAGGUCGAGAGCAUAAAGUUUGCAAGCUUAAUCGCUCAAUAUAUGGCAUUAAGCAAUCAUCUAGAUAGUCGUAUCUUCGUUUUCAUCGAGCAAUAAUAACUUUUGGUUUCACGAUGAUCGAAGAAGAUCACUGUGUAUAUGUCAAGCGGUCCAAAGAUAAAUUUGUAAUUUUAUCACUUUAUGUGGACAAUAUUCUGUUGGCUGGAAACGACAAGGUUUUGGUUAUCACCAUAAAAAAAUGUUUGUCCUCCAAUUUUGAGAUGAAGGACAUGGGAGAAGCUGCUUAUAUUUUAGGAGUUAAGAUCGAAAGAGAUCGAUCAAGAACACUUCUUACUUUAUCACAAGAGUCUUAUAUUAUGAAGAUUCUUGAGCGUUUCAAUAUGCAGCAUUGUAAUCUCAUUGAUACCCCUGUCAUGCAAGGUGAAGGCCUAAGUACUGAGAUGUGUCCUAAGACUCCAGAAGAAAUUAAUGUGAUGGAAACUGUUCCUUACGCUAGUGCAGUCGGAAGUUUGAUGUAUGCUAUGAUGUGUACUCGACCUGACAUAUGCUAUGCCGUGGGAUUGGUGAGCCGAUAUCAAUCAAAUCCUGGUUAAGCACACUGGAAAGCAAUGAAGAGGAUCUUGAGAUACUUGAAGGGCACCAUGGACUAUCGACUUUGUUACCAAGGGAAUGAUUUACGCCUAUUGGGUUAUUCAGAUGCCGAUUGGGGUGGAGACCUGGAUGAGCGUAAAUCGACUUCUGGAUAUGCGUUCUUGCUCAAUGGAGGUGUGAUUUCUUGGAAUAGCAAGAAACAGACAUGCACGGCUUUGUCUACGAUGGAGGCAGAAUUUAUUGCAUGUUCUUCCGCAGUGCAAGAAGCAGUAUGGCUAAAACGUUUCUUGGAAAAUUUAGCCACUGUCACUGAAGUUCCAAGACCGAUGAAGGUUUAUUGUGAUAGUCAAGCAGCCAUUGCCUAUGUGAAAGAUCCCAAGUAUCAUGGAAGGACAAAGCACAUUAACAUAAAUAAUAAUUUCAUAAGAGAUAUUAUAGCACAAAAAGAAGUGAUCCUGCAAUACAUUUCAACCAAUAGAAUGGUUACUGAUCCAUUUACGAAGGCUAUUCCUAGAGACAUAUUCUUGACCCAUAGGAUGUCACUAGGAUUGCGUAGAAUGUGAUAUCUGUUAUUGUAGAGGAUCAUUAGUUUAUGUAUUUGUGGACAGAUGUAUUAUACUUGUUUGUUUAUUAGUGAUUUGAUGUUUUAUCAAAAAGUACAAAUCCACUAUGAGACUAGCACAAACACACAUAUAUUAUUGAAAAGUAUGUCAGCAGGCAAUGAUUGGCUCACUCACACGAGCAAUCGCCUCAAGUGCUGUAGUAAGCACGUUGAGAUGAGACGUUAUGUACAAAUAAAUGCUGAAGAGCAAGUUUGGUACAUAAAAUAUGUCACUUUGAUUGGAGUCAAGAUGAGGUCUGUGUUUUUGUUUAUAAUAAGACCGAACAUGAUAUUCCCACAAUCAUAUAUGCUUGCAAAAUGCCGGAUGCGAGUACUUAAUUGGGCGCUAUAGAAAGCAAGCUGAUAUAGCACUCGGGCUAAACAUGAGUAUGUGAUUGGCACGUGACUAUGUUUAGGCUAAGAUCUGUAUAGUGGAUAUGGUUAAUAAAUGACAUACGCUCUUAUAGAAAGAGAAAUCCAUUGUAGCAUGUAAUUCAUACUACAUGUGCAUUAUACGACCAAUAAGGGAAGGUGAAUAAAAUUAUCCCUAUUUAUUCAUCGUGUGAGUCCUUGAGGUAAUUUAUAAUUUACCUCAAAUAUGUGCCCUAUGUUACUUCUGACUAUGUUCUCGAAGUGAAAGAUCAAUGUUGCUACUUUAGCAUGUUACGAGCGGUCAUGAAUAGAUAUGGCUUAUGGGACGUGUCUAGGAAAGCAAUUGUUCUGAAAUUGAGAGAGACAUGAGUGUGAAGGAAGACUAUUAUUGUUUUACAUCUAUCACAUGUAUUUACUGGUCAACCAAUUAUAUCGCCUUAUGUGGUUGCGGAUGUAAUUGUAAAUACAUGGUGUUUUUGGGAAUAGUCAAGUAUAGCCUUUAAGGGAUAGGUAUACUUUGGAUUGAUAUAACAAAAUAUUUCUGAGGCACUGUGAUACAUCGAUUGUUUAUUUCUUUUCGGGGUUGUAGCCAUUAUGUCAUCCUUAACAGGUGCAUAAUUUGAGCUCCCAAGUGCAGGUGUACUCACUAGUCGCACGGCUUAUUUGCCAGUAUGAAUUGUUUUAUAAAGUUGAUGAAUGUUAAAUGCCUUAUAUUCUUGAUAAAGAGCACUAUCAAACCCAUCAUGUCCGAGUGGGAGAUGUAGUACUUUAGCUUUAGCUAGUACGUCCAUGAUGGGGUGCAAUUGGACCGCUCCAAUUGGACUUGAUAUGCUACGAUGGAAAGGCACAAAUGGAGGGGUACGAAGGGAGACGUAUAAAAGGCUCCCGAACACAACCGUUGGGUUUGUUGGCCAUUCAUUCGCACCAAAAUUCCUCUCCAUUUCCAUCAAAGAAGAUCAAGGUGUUCCAUUUCAUUUUUGCAAGAACAAUCGGCAUUUACGCCGUGGAAAUCAGGUGUUUUCCUUGUGAUUGCAUCCAGACUAACAUGAGGUAGUGCUGUUCAUGAUUUAUUCACAAUUCAAUGUUUGUUCCGGGGCUCUUUACUGUUUGUGCAUCGGAAUCAGGUAAGUUGUCUUCUGCCGACUUGAAUUCCAACACUAGACAAUCUCACACCAUCAAAACCACCCCAAAAUCAUGGCCUCGUCCUUAUUUCUGUGGAAUCCUUCUUCUUUAGGGGUCUUCUUCUUAUUCUGCUCGCUCUUCUUCAUAAACAAAAACACCAUCUUUGUUUCCACUCCAUUUCAUGGCAUAGUUGUUUCUGCUUCCUCCAUUUCUUUCGCUCCCAAUACGACCAACCAUACGGAUGAAGUAUAGACUCUCCUGGAAUGGAAAUCUAGUCUUGAAGACCACAACCAAUCUCUCCUGUCUUCAUGGCAUGGCAACAACUCUUGCCACUUCAUAGGUGUCGCGACAACUACGGAUUCGUUGCCCAUCUUCAUCUUUCUAAUCUUGGCUUGAGAGGAACUUUAAAUAGGCUCGACUUCUCGCACUUAACCAAGGUGGUUAGUCUUGACUUUUCCAGCAACUCAAUCUACGGUCCUAUAACCUCAAGUAUCGGUAACUUUUCCAAACUCAAGUAUCUUAUUUUUUAUGACAAUAGAUUGAGUGGACACAUUCCUUAGGAGAUUGGAUUGUUAGAUUCUCUUUUAGAAGUUUAUUUUGGCAAAAAUAAUCUCAGAGGUCCUAUCCCUGCUUCACUUGGAAAAUUAGGCAACUUAACAAAAUUGGGAAUAUCACGAAAUGACCUUUCUGGUCCCAUUCCAAGAGAGAUAGGUGACCUAAGAAGAUUGAAGUUUCUUUACUUAUGGAGGAACCAACUUUCGGGAUCCAUACCUACAGAUAUUGGGAGGCUAAACGAUCUUAUUGACUUAAAAUUUUCUGAUAAUACGUUGGUCGGGAGUAUCCCUGCUUCAUUAGGAAACCUAAGUAGUCUAAAUGUUCUCUAUCUUUAUAGAAACCAACUUUCGGGAGCCAUACCUUUAGAGAUUGGGAGGCUCACCAAUCUUAUUGAAUUAGAUUUUUCUGAAAAUAAGUUGUUUGGGUGUAUCCCUACAACACUAGGAAACCUAAGCAACAUAAAUGUUCUCCAUCUUUAGGGAAACUCAUUUUCAAGGUCCAUUCCUCCUCUUGGAAAAUUAGGCAACUUAAGAAAUUUGAACGUAGCAAAGAAUGACCUUUCUAGUCCCAUUCCAAGAGAGAUAGGUGACUUAAGAAGAUUGAAGUUUCUUACUUAUGGAGGAACCAACUUUCGGGAUCCAUACCUACAGAGAUUGGGAGGCUAAACGAUCUUAUCAACUUAGAAUUUUCUAAUAAUAAGUUGGUCGGGAGUAUCCCUACUUCGCUAGGAAACCUAAGUAGUCUAAAUGUUCUCUAUCUUUAUAGAAACCAACUUUUGGGAUCCAUACCUUCAGAGAUUGGGAGGCUCACCAAUCUUAUUGAAUUAGAUUUUUCUAAAAAUAAGUUGAUCGGGCAUAUCCCUGCUUCACUAGGAAACCUAAGCAACCUAAAUGUUCUCCAUCUUUGGGGAAACCAAUUUUCAGGGUCCAUUCCUCCAUCUCUUGGAAAAUUAGGCAACUUAAGAAAUUUGAGCGUAGCAAAGAAUGACAUUUCUGGUCCCAUUCCAAGAGAGAUAGGUGACCUAAGAAGAUUGAAGUUUCUUUACUUAUGGAGGAAUAAACUUUCGGGAUCCAUACCUUCAGAGAUUGGGAGGCUAACUGAUCUUAUUGACUUAGAGUUUUCUAAUAAUAAGUUGGUCGGUUGUAUCCCUUCAUCUAUUCAGAAUUUGAGCAAUCUCAAUAGAUUAUACCUAUUCUCAAAUCAUCUUUCAAGUUUGAUUUUUGAGGAGAUAGGGAAACUAACACCUCUUGUAGAUUUAGAUUUGUCUAAUAAUACUUUGACUGGUUCAAUCCCUGCAUCAAUUGGAAGCAUGGCCAAUUUAACUAUGUUACGCCUUAGAGAAAACAACUGUCUCGGUUCCUUGCCUCUUGAAAUUAAUAAGAUCAUUCAUUUGAGUGUUUUGGAUCUCUCUCAUAAUGAACUCGAAGUUCAGCUGCUGAAAAAUAUAUGCCUCGGGGGAUUAUUGUAAAAUUUCUCUGUGAGGAAUAAUCAUUUCACAGGUAAUAUCCCUAGAAGCUUGAGGAAUUGUACUUCAUUAUUUAGAGUGAGGGUUGAAGGAAACAAACUUACUGGAAAUAUAACAUAAGCUUUUGGAGUAUAUCUGCAACUAAAUUUUAUGGACUUGAGCCACAAUUGUUUGCAUGGUGAACUUUCAUGGAAAUGGGGGCAUUGCCACAAUUUGACGAGCUUAAGGAUAUCGAACAAUAACAUUUCCGGUAUACCCCCGAAAUUUGGAAGGAUGGCCCAAUUACAGGUAGUUGACCUUUCUACAAAUAAUUUUAAGUGGAAAGAUUCCGAGGGAAUUGGGAAGCUUGCAAUUACUACUAGAUCUUAUCCUUAACAACAAUGGGAUCACAGGUGAUAUUCCCCAUCAAAUUGGAUUUUUGUCUCGACUAGAACAUCUCAACCUAGCAUCAAACAAUUUGGGCGGAGAUAUUCCACCGCAGCUCAGCCUAUACACCAACUUGCUGAGCUUGAACUUGAGCCCAAAUAAAAUUGAGAGAAGUAUUCCUCCUGACAUAGGCAAUGUGCAAUUCCUUAGUGUUCUUGAUUUGAGUAAGAAUCUAUUGACUGGAAGAAUACCGCCAGAUCUAGGAAAAUUGAGAGCCCUAGAAACCCUAAACGUCUCCCACAAUGGCCUCUCUGGUUCCAUCCCACAUAGUUUUGCUGACUUAUGGGCAUUAACUUUUGUUGAUGUGUCCUACAAUGACUUGGAAGGUCCUCUCCCAAAGGUCAAAGCUUUUAAGGAGGCUCCAUCUGAGGUAGUUCAGCAUAACAAGGGGCUGUGUGGGAACGUGGCUAGAUUACAGAAAUGCAAUAUUUCUACCAUAAGCAAGACACACAAUCAACUCAGCGGUGCUAGAAUUUUGAUUUUCCCCGUUCUCUCGUUCUUGGGAUUCCUCAUUCUCUCUUCCUUCUUGAACGUCCCCGUAAUCAUUAAUUGCCGUCAAAGAAAGACUAUCGAGAGAGAAAGGAAUGCAUUAAUGGAGACUAAUGAUUUAGAUUUCUUGCACAUUCUGAGUUUUGAUGGAAAAAUUUUGUACGGGCAAAUCUUGGAAGCGACAUAAGGAUUUCACUCCAAGUACUAUUUGGGAGAAGGGCUUAUGGCAUUGUUUACAAAGCCGAUCUACCCACAGGUCAAACUCUUGCUGUCAAGAAAAAUCCAUCGUCCUAGGAAGAUGAGACCAUCAACAUCACUCCUUUUGAAAGGGAAAUUGAAGCCUUACAAAAUAUUCGCCACCGCAACAUCGUGAAAUUCUAUGGGUUCUGCUCUCAUUCACAACAUUGUUUUUUAGUAUAUGAGUACAUCGAAAGAGGGAGCUUGAGAACAAUUUUGAAUGAUGAUAAUAGAGCAUCAGAGCUUGGUUGGGACAAAGGGAUAAACAUGGUUCAAGCAGUUGCAAAUGCGUUGUCAUAUAUGCAUCACAACUGUUUUCCUCCAUUGAUCCAUCGAGACUUGACCAGCAACAACAUCUUGUUGGAUGCUGAUUUCGAGGCUUGCAUGUCAGACUUUGGCACCGCAAGAUUAUUGAGGGUAGAGUCAACCAACUAGAUUGCUACUGCUGGCACCAUCGGAUACAUUGCUCUAGGUGAUGUUCUUUAUAGAAGCAUAUUAAUUUACUAUCCCAACUUGUGUUGUCAUUGGAAAUUCCUUAAUUAUGUGAAAGCAAAUGUCUGAGUCUUUAAUUGCAGCUAACAAGAUUAUCAACGGACUUUGAAUUCUUCAAUUGUAGAGCUAGCUUAUACCAACAUUCCGACUGAAAAAUGUGAUGUAUAUAGCUUUGGAGUUGUAGUGCUAGAGAUAAUUAUGGGAAAGCAUCCAGGAGAUUAUGUCUCAUUGGUAUUUUCAUCCUCUCAAUCCAAGUCGCAAACCCUGUUAAAGGAUGUGCUGGACCAACAUGUGACAUCCCGAAUUUCCAAUUCUAUUUUCAAUAAAUUGAGACAGGCAUUUCAUCUACACACAUAUAGUUCUUUUCCUUGAGUCGGCCACUCAUGUGAAAACUAGUCUAUCAAGUGAAGCUGUUAAGAGAUUCUAAUGUAUCAAACUCGAGAAUUUGACCAGGAAGCAACCUUUCGACCGAACUAAUCUGCAAGGGUCAAUACGGCACAAUUAAAAAUUGAUUAGAGACCGGAGAUGGGUCGACUUGACAAAGGCAUGUGAUCAAGUGUGGGUGAUUUUACCAUAUCGCACAAUUCUUGUCGGUUGACACUGAGCCGACUUUUCUGUCAAUUGGGUACUAUGUGUCCGUAUUUGAAACCUUGAGGUUACCUCGACAACCAAGAGUCACCAAUGUGUCAAAGAUAUACAUUGUGGCUUGAAUUGAUCAACCACAGGUCAAAUGCACGAAAAUUUCUAAAAGCUACUCGAUAGGUCAUGACGUGCUAGUAUCGUACCAAAGUGAAAUUAAUCGUGAAAUUGAUACUGAAUUCAGAAAUUGGAAGUCUUGUUGUAUCACAUAUCUUAAUAGGAACAUUGGAUUAAUUUAUGGACUUCAAUUGAACUCAAUUGGAAGAGAAUUAAAUGGAAUUAAAGAAAUUAUGGUACAAGAUUUCAUGCCACGGCGGAAAAGAAAAUUGGACCUAUUGAAGAUUGUUGUGGAGGAUUGAGAUAGUGGAAGAUAAUGUCAUCCUAGGUCAUGGUAGUUGGGGCAAAGGAAGGAAAAGAUGACAAGUGGAGGGUUGAGAUCUAAUCCCAAAAAAGUGGGAUGUCACUUCCCCCCCAUCUCCAUCAUCUUCAAGCUUGGUUUCUUGGAGUUUUGAAAGAGGAAAAGCAGAAACCAACAACCAACUGGACCCCUUCGCAUGCACACAUGCCAACCGGAGCUCCUCGUUGUUCGCUCGUCGCCGGUGUCAUUGUCGUUGCCACCGUUAGCGUGCAAAACCCGCGCGUCGCUUCGCUGGCUAGCUCACCGCAUGCUGCCUUCGUCCGCACAUUCCAGCUCGUCAUCCACCGUCCCGCAGUUGCCUGACGUCGCUGCACGUCACUGGAGGUCCCACCAAAGCUGCCACCUUGCCCGCACGAGCAGCCGCCGCUGUUCCCACCGCUUUCGUGCCCGAACCGCCGCGGAGCCACCUUCGUCCAACCUCAACACAGCAACCGUCGACCAGCCCUCCUCCGAUUCUUCAAGGCCCAUUUUGGCUGGCUUCUCGACCCCGAAAGCCCUGCCCGCCUUGAGGAAAGUCGAUCCCCGUUGCGUCCCCGUCACGUGGAACCGCUCGGCUUGUCAUUCGAGUGAGUUUAACUCACUAAAUCUUGAUUAGAGGGUUAGUGAUGCCCUAAGUGUGCUUAGUCUAAGUUAAUUAAGUUUAUGUGGUUAGUUUAGUUUUUUUUAAUUGUGAUUUAGAUUAAGAGGUUGGUUUAAUUUAAAGUAUGUUUAAUUAAGGCUAAGAGAGUUUAUUUUAUAAUAAACCUUGAUGGAACAUAAUAGGGGUUUAUUUUUUAUUUACUUAAAUGUUUCAAAAUUCUGGAAAUCUUUAAUAAUAUAUUAUAUUAUGAAUUCAUUAAAAUAUUAUUAUUUAUAAAAAAAUUAAAAUUAAAAUUUCGAAAAUUAUUUUGGGACCCUAAUUGGUCAAAAUUUCGUGCCGAUCGCUGCUGUACACUUAGAAUUUGAAAUUGAUGAAUGGAUGUGGCAGAUUGAGUGUUGAUUGCGAUAGAUAGGGAUUUUAUUAAUAAAAACCCAAGUGUCAAGUUUUGAUGCAAAAAUUGGAUUUUAAGUAUUAUAUUAAAUAGUGGGGUUUGAAAAAGUGAGAUAUUGGUUUUCUGGAUCGAAAUUUACGUGUCCCCACACACGUGGUUAAUUUCUGGAAUAUUUUUAAUAUGAAGAAAAAUGGUUGGGAUUACUAUUUUUUCUAACUGGGAGCAUUGAAUGAAAUGCAAAGUGUCCUAGUGCCAAUUGUGAAAUUGUUGUGUGAUAAUUAAGAGGAGUUUGUCCUGGGCUGUUGAGCCGGACUUGCCCCUAUAUGGGAUGCCCACGUAAUGGUUGCGGGUCGUAGUUGAUUCUGGACCCAUGCUCCAAGGUGGAGAUACGAUGCCUGGCUAUAUGCCAGUAGAUAGCCGAACUGCGAGUAGGCUAUGUUCUUGUGUGGAAUUGAAUAAAAUGAGAUCGCAUGCUGUGGUUGUGGAUUAUGUGAAAUUGAUUGCGGUUCAUUUGUUCAUAUUCCUAUUAUUACAUGUGAUUGAGUGAUUUGAAAUGUACUAACCUGCAGGAAGGAAAUAAGACGAGGUAAGUUUUCUGUGUGAUGUGGCUAGGCCACCCGGGGUGUAUUUUCUUUCUAAUAGGAGUUUAGGAGGGGUGAACUGGCUGAGACAAUGUCUCACCCCGUUGUGGGAAAUUAUUAUAGGGCCGUAGAUGGCAAUACCUCCGGAGAAGAAUGGCAUUCCAAUGCACAUUGUCGAGCAAGUGCAUAGCUUUCCUGACCCUAGAAGUCAUUGGGUGUACGAGCUGAUCAAGUCCACUGUCUGGAUUUAGGUGUCAGUGGAUGACAGGGUGCCACAUAGGUAUAAGGCAUGGUCCCGUUCUAGGGCCGAUGGCUUUAGGAUUGACCCUCUCGAUAGUUUUGACAUUCCACUUGCUGUGGUGAAUGCCAUUUUGGGUGAAGGUGUAGCUGACCUUCCUAAUGGUGGAGUGGACAACCCAUCGUCUCCGGAUCCCGUGUAGUCAGAUGUGGAAGAUGUGGGAUCGAUGAACGAGUUCGACUAGUAGUCAUAGGACUGUUCCUCUUUUUGGUGGACCGAUCCUUGUUGUGCAGAUUGACCCUUUUUGCACUUAGACUCUAACCCAUUUUUGGAUGUAUGUAAACUCUGGAAUGUUUAUAUAUGAAAGCAUGUUUGUUUUUGAAUGAUUUGAUUUCCUGCUUUCCUAUCCCGCAAGUUUUGUCAAGGGUUUCUUAUUACGUUCCGCAUGCGCAUAAUAAAUGAAUGGGGUCGGCGACACUACCUGGGAAUGUCGCAUUUACAUGUCCAUGGCGGGUUGUUCACGUGUCUCGGGGUUCGGGGCGUGACACAAUGCCUCUUGCCUCCGACAAAUUGGCAUGCGCAAAACAUAAUCUCUGUUGCAGCACUAGCAAUCGCAUGCUUGUGGACCAAUCCUCAACCUCGACCAACCAUGACACAAGUCUCGCGGGAGCUUCGAGUUCAAGCACCACCAGUUUUGCCGUUCUUUGGAGUCACCUUAGAACAACUCCGUGAUCUCGAUGGCAGGAACUUUUAGACCGCACUCGGGAGGUUGCAAGUUUCCGAUCGAGUUACUGUCGUGUGUUCACCUUUUCUGGCUUCUGUGUUUGGCAGUAAGAUGUCGAUUAAUUAGUUCUAAAACUUGGAAGAUGCAUAGUCUAAAUGUUUUCUUUUUGUAAGAGUAGAAUGAUAGGUAAUUUUCCUCCUUUCGUGUAGGCAAGCAUCUAUUUAUAGUUAAUAUAAAUCAUUUGUUUCUUAGCAAAAUCAUCUGAACUUGUUUAAAAUACCAUCUCAUAUAUCACAUUACGAAGUCUUGUAUGUGCAAUUGUUCUGGGAUACUUCACAGUUUUAAGAUCAUUAUGUUCGGGGAAACGAGUAUGAUAGAAAGCAAUCAGACUCACAUAACACGAGGAUAAUGUUUUCGACAUAAUAGCUCAUCAAAAAUGAAUUUGCAGGGCGGUUCUUGCCUUUUGAGCAGCCAAAACCGAGAAUGGAAGUUUGGGACGUCCGAACUGACAUCGAUGCUUGCAGGGGGAGUUCUUCAUGGGGGUUAAAUCAAUUACGAAAUGGAAUUUGUGUGCCCUAAUUAGCUAAAGCUAGUAUUUCUCAAUUAACAACUUCUUACUUUAACUCGGCAAAAAUCAAUGAAUCGAUCUCAGGUAUCUCACGGGUAGAUUGUUUAGCUUCUAUCCUUAGGUGCAACCUCUUCUUAUGAGUACCUUGGAAGGAUUAUCGCUUGAUUUUUUUUACUAUCUAAAGUAGGCAUCAGAUUCGCAUGAACAUGGUGUGUCCAUUGACUUUGAGAGGGAAUGGGCGACCCCAGAUUUCCCCAUUUUUCCCCCGUGAAAGAUACAAGAAGAAAUCUAUGAACACUCCAGUUGGAUUGGCGGCUUUCUAAGGUAAUUAGAAAUGGCACGCUGGUUCUCUUUCCCGGGAAAAAAUUAAAAUUUUAUAAAUGUCAGCUUAUUAUCUUUGGUCUUUCUGUUGCUAUAAACGUUUGAUGCGUGAGUAAGCCCAGCGGUCCAAAAUCUCCGAAUAGGAAGAGGUCUAGAAGCUCGGCGCGAGUUAUCUGGCUUGGGGAUCCAUUCAUAUACAACCUUCUUGUUGCCAGGCUCCUUCUAUGAUAUUGUUGAGAGAAGACAUGAUUCGUAUCCAUGGGGAAAGUAUAAAAAAGGUCUAAAUCUAUUACAUUGGUACCGAUUCAAUUAUAAACUUUUCAAUCGGUCAAUUAAAUCAUAAAUAUUCUGGCAUUCCUAUCAAUUCAAUCCAUCUUACUAAUUUAAACUGGAAAUUACUCACAUAAAUACUAGCAGCACUAUAUGGCAUAGCCGAUGCUGACGUGGAUACCUUUUUAUAAUUUUUUUGAAUUUUUUUCUUUUUUUCUUCGUUUUUCUUUCUCUUUUCUUUUUGUCAGUAGCUGGCAAGGGCUGGCCUUGCCUGGGUGAGGAUCACUCUUGCUAGCCAUAGAAAGGGUGUUGGAGAAAACUUCCUUAUGUGUUUUGAAGUUAACAAAACGUUUCCAUCAGUCUAGUCUGAAAACUUGAAGACUCUUCCGUCAAAGUCUGAAGACCGUCAGAUUCAAGCUUUAAAGUUUGUCCUCAUUGACAGUUUCUAGACCGUCGAAGAAGAUUUAUCCAGAAUCAAGGAUUUAUUUAAGGAAUUGAUUCGAGCGGCUAAAGAAGCUUCUCACGGCUGGAGAUAGCAUUUUGAGAUCUUUUAUUCGUAUUUAAUUUUGAUACGAAUAAAUUAGAUUUGUUGAUUGGCAAGGUAUACUUGGAAGGUUUUACUUAUGGAAACCUAGAUCUUGAUUGUAUGGGCGAGCAAAAUUGGUGGGCUAUCAUCACAUUCCUUAAGUAACUUGAAGAUCUACUUAAUUGAUUCCGUCCAACAGUUAGAUAGAGGAACUCCUUUGGAAAAUACCAACGGGUAUGAAGGCAUGGAGGAGUAUAAAAGGAAGAAGCUCUGGUUAUUCGAGUGUGUGCGUGAUAGAGAAAUUCCAAAGUCUGAAACUCCUUGUUCUUUGUUGAUUCAACUGUUGAGCGAAAUUUGUACUCAAAAGAGAGAUUAGAUACUAGUGAGACCUUGAGGAAGUGUAGCAAAGUCUCUACACUGUGGAAUCAAGGACAUGAUAUUGUAACAACUCUUUUGAUUUAUAGUGAAAUCUAGCCGAUGGGCUGUCAGUGCGGGAGAGUGGACGUAAGCUUGGAAUAAGCCGAACCACUAUAAACUCUAUGUUCAUUUUCUCUCAUCCUUGAACCUCUUAUUUAUGCUUACGAGUUGUUUAUUUAUUUAAUAGUUGAAUUCUAUUUUAUUGUCCAUCAAAAAUAUUCUUUUUAAGUCCUAAGAAAAGUUUCACAUACACCUAUUCACCCCCCUCUAGGUGUAUUUACUAGCCCCUUUCAAUUGGUAUAAGAGCUUGUGUGCUUAUUUAUUGAAGUGUUUUACUUCUUAAGCUAAAAAUCUAUGGCUAGUAUUUUGGCUCCAGAACUGGUUGAAGGUCAAAGCAACACUAGACCUCCUUACUUUGAUGGAAAAGAAUACAACGUAUGGAAGAACAAGAUGAAAGCUUUCCUUAGAUCGAAAGAUCCCCUUGAAUGGGAUGUGGUGGAAAAAUGAGUUAUUCCAACAAUAACUUCAACUUCAGGAAGAGGGAAGGAAGUGACAGAUGCUAGAGAGAUGACACAAGAAGAGACAAUCAAAAGACAAGCUCUUGACGCAAAAGUUAUUUAUUCUUUAUACUAUGCUUUAUCUCCUACUAGGUAUAACAUAAUUUCAUCCUGUGAAACAGCAAAAAAAGUCUGAGACAGGUUGCAUGUUACUUAUGAAGGAACCAAUCGAGUCAAAGAAACAAAGAUCAACAUUCUUCUUGGGCAAUAUGAAGCUUUCAAAAUGAAGCCAGGAGAAACCAUCACUAAUAUGUUUAGCCAUUUUAUAGAGAUCGUAAAUGGUCUUGCAUAUCAUGGCCAACCAAUCUCAGGGCAAAUGAAAGUCAACAAGUUGUUGCGAGGACUUUAUCUGUCGAUGAAUUAGUGGGCACACUUCAGUCUUAUGAAGUGGAGCAAAUUGAUGAAGAGGAAGAUUCUAAAGGUAAAAAGUCAAUUGCUUUAAAGUCUAAUGAUGAUGAUGUUACAGAUACAGAAGACGAUCUGGACGAUGAAGAAUUAGCACUCAUGAUAAGGAAGUUCAGAAAGUUAAACAGAAAGGGAAGAAAGUACAACUAGAGGAAGCAAAAUACUCAAAGAUCUCGGAAUAAAGCAACUGAAGAUAAUGAGUUCAACAAAGACAUGAUUUGCUUCGAAUGCAAAAAGAAAGGACACAUCAGACCCAACUGUCCUAUUCUGAAGAAAAAGAAGGAAAUAUGAAGAAACUCAAGAAAACUCUCAAAGUAGAGACUUGGAGCGACACAGAAUGUGAAGAGAGUGAUGAAGAAUAUGCCAACAUUUGUCUUAUGGCAAACUCAGAAUCAGACUUAGAUUCUGACAAGGAAAUUGAGGUAAGUAACUUUAAAAUUCCUAUUAAAGUUUCAAAGUAUAUUGAUGAACUAUGUCUUAGCUUUAAAGUAUCUCUUAAAAAGAUUUUCGAACUUAAAAUGGAAAAUUCUAUACUAAGGCAACAGGAAAUUUCUUGGAAUGAAAAAUUUGAAAGUCUGAACAACAAUUUCAAAACUUCAAAAGAAAAUGAAGAUUUUCUUUCAAAAGAAAACAUUCUCUUGAAAGAAGACAUUUCAGCUAUUUCAAAAAAGUUUUCAAAUGGAUCUAAAAAGCUUGAUAAAAUUCUUUCAAUUCAAAGACCUUAUUUUUAUAAAUCAGGUUUGGGAAUGACACAUGAAACUGGUACUUUAAUUGAUUUCCCAAAGGUAAAAGAAGGAAUCAAACAAAGACUUGCUAAAACUUUUUACAGAAAUCAUUUUCCAAAAGUUUUUGUAAAAGCUAUUGGUCGAAGUGCUCUCAAAUGUUCAAAGUAUAAUAGCUCGGAACAUUUUGAGAAGGAUUGUCCUAAAGUUUGGAAACCUGUUAAGAGAAACUAGGCAAAGAAUACUUUUGGAACUAACUCCCCUGGACCCAAGAAAGUAUGGGUACCAAAGAAAACUUGAAAUUUUUGCAUAAUUGCAGGUCACUAUCAAGAAAAAGAUCAAAUGGUAUUUGGAUAGUGGUUGUUCAAGAUACAUGACAGGAGAUUCAAAUUGCUUCAUAAAGCUUACCCAAAUAGAUGGUGGAAAAGUUUCUUUUGGUGGAAAUGGCAAAGGAAGAAUUACUGGUCAUGGAACUAUCAAGAUUGAGAGUCUCACAAUCAAUAAUGUUUCUUUGGUGGAAGGCUUAAAUUAUAAUCUUCUCAGUAUAAGCCAAUUGUGUGACACUGGAUUCAAAAUCAACUUUCAAGAAGGCAUAUGUUCAGGAAUUAGUAAGGAUUUGUCUCAAUCCUUUACUGGUCGAAGACAUGGAAAUAUUUAUCUGCUUGAUAUCAAAUCAGAAAGCUCUCAGUGUCUAAUCUCCAUUCAAGAUGAAGAGAAUCUUUGGCAUAGAAAACUUGGCCAUAUUAGUAUGAAGUAGACAGCCAAGAUUUCUUCCAAAAAGCUUGUUCGUGGACUGCCCAACCUAAGAUUUCAAAAGACAGAAUUAUGCUGUGACACCCCGAACCCUUCGCAGGUCGUCACCAGCGCCGGUGUUACAUCUUUUACCAUCUCUAUCUCUUGGCUAAAUUAAGCCUUGCCAGAUUACAGGCAUUUUUUUUUUUUAAAAGCGGUCCCAUGCGCGACUCAUAGCGGAAGCAAAUUAAACAUCUCCAUCUCUUCCCUUACUAACCCAUGAUACAAAUACACACCAGCUAAACUUCAUGAUUUUAUAAAUAACAUUGACGCUUUGCUUACAUACAUACAUAUAGCGAGAUGGGGUUUCCUUCGGGUCGGUACAAAAACCAGAAAGGUUAGGACUCUGCCAUGUCCUACCUAAAAUCUCAAAAAGAAACCUCGACCCCUAACAUCACAUGAACACAAACCCUCCCAUCACCAGCGUCAACUAUCUACAUCAAAAAGUGAUCUAGCUCCUACUCCUUGCGCGCAGGUCUCACACCCAACCCGGUGCAUCAGGUGGUGGCGGCGGCAGCAUCCCUCGCAUAGCACCAUCUCGACGGACGUGAACAGAAAUGAAUUCUUGUAUGACAGGGCCCCCAGCCAGGCCGAUAUCAUACAUGACCAAGCAUCGUACUCGGAUAAACGUCAAUCCGGGCACAGAGGGACAAUCUAUCUCCGUACACUCCACCUCAACAUCAGACGGUAUACCGUAAAAUACCCCACGCGAAACAGCAGGUAGCGGCAUAGUGCUAAUAUGAAAUGUUAUCCCCAAAAGGGGUGAGUACAACCACUCAGCAGAUAGGGAAAUCCAAUAACAUUCCAAUGCAUCAUACAUAUCAUCACACGUUGCAAACAUCACUUACCUUGUAACCAUGCAUAUCAUGCAUCAUCAUUAGCCAUGCAUCACCAUGCAUAUCACAUCAUCAUUAGCCAUGCAUCACCAUGCAUAUCACAUCAUAUCAUCAUUAGCCAUGCAUCACCAUGCAUAUCACAUCAUAUCAUCAUUAACCAUGCAUCACCAUGCAUAUCACAUCAUAUCAUCAUUAGCCAUGCAUUACCAUGCAUAUCACAUCAUAUCAUCAUUAGCCAUGCAUUACCAUGCAUAUCACAUCAUAUCAUCAUUAGCCAUGCAUCACCAUGCAUAUCAUAUCAUCAUUAGCCAUGCAUCACCAUGCAUAUCAUAUCAUCAUUAGCCAUGCAUCACCAUGCAUAUCACAUCAUAUCAUCAUUAGCCAUGCAUCACCAUGCAUAUCACAUCAUAUCAUCAUUAGCCAUGCAUCACCAUGCAUAUCACAUCAUAUCAUCAUUAGCCAUGCAUCACCAUGCAUAUCAUAUCAUCAUUAGCCAAUUUCCACUUUUACUCACCAUGCAUAUCAUAUCAUCAUUAGCCAAUUUCCACUUUUACUUAUCAAUUAAUCCCCACAUUAUCUUUUCUCAAAUGAUCAAUUUCACCAUCAUCACCAUCCCUUCGGGCAGAAACCUCCGACAGGGUAUCAUUAUCAAUCCUUCGGGCAUAAACCUCCGACAGAAUUCCAUGAUCAAUUUGAUCAUCACCCUUCGGGCAGAAACCUCCGACAGGGUUCCCAGUAUCCCAGCCAUCUCAUGGCCAUUGGGCUUCCGGCCCCCCACAUUCCGGGCAUCUCGCAUCUCAACUAGCAUCACGAGGCAUUCCCUUCGGGCAGAAACCUCCGACAGGGCUUCCGACCUUUACCCUUCUAACCGGGGAUCUCGCACCCCAAUCCUGGCAUCGCGAGUCACCUCCGGGCAUGUAUCCAAGAUACAACCGGACUUCCGGCCCCCCACAUUCCGGGCAUCCUGAAACUCCUAGGGAAUCUCUGGAAUUACGCCACCAGGCCACCAGACAACAUCCUCCGCCACAACCUCUUACUCACAUACCACUUUCCACUUUUUAUCAUCCUUUUCAUCUUAUUAUUU